UCCUGCCGGACCUGACUGCUAUCGGAUUGAUACUAAGCCAUGCGAGUCUUUGUAGUAAUACAAGGCAUACGGCUCAGUAACACGUAGUCAACCUACCCUAUGGACAAGAAUAAUCUCGGGAAACUGGGCAUAAUUCUUGAUAGAUCAUAAUGCCUGGAAUGGUUUAUGGUUAAAAUGAUUCGUCGCCAUAGGAUGGGACUGCGGCCUAUCAGCUUGUUGGUGAGGUAAUGGCCCACCAAGGCGAUUACAGGUACGGGCUCUGAGAGGAGAAGCCCGGAGAUGGGUACUGAGACACGGACCCAGGCCCUAUGGGGCGCAGCAGGCGAGAAAACUUUGCAAUGUGCGAAAGCACGACAAGGUUAAUCCGAGUGAUUUCUGCUAAAGAAAUCUUUUGCCAGUCAUAAAACCACUGGUGAAUAAGGGGUGGGCAAGUUCUGGUGUCAGCCGCCGCGGUAAAACCAGCACCUCAAGUGGUCAGGAUGAUUAUUGGGCCUAAAGCAUCCGUAGCCGGCUUUGUAAGUUUUCGGUUAAAUCCAUGUGCUCAACGCAUGGGCUGCCGAAAAUACUGCAUGGCUAGGGAGUGGGAGAGGUAGACGGUACUCAGUAGGAAGGGGUAAAAUCCUUUGAUCUAUUGAUGACCACCUGUGGCGAAGGCGGUCUACCAGAACACGUUCGACGGUGAGGGAUGAAAGCUGGGGGAGCAAACCGGAUUAGAUACCCGGGUAGUCCCAGCUGUAAACGAUGCAGACUCGAUGAUGCAUUGGCAUAAUAGCUAGUGCAGUGUCGCAGGAAAGCCGUUAAGUCUGCCGCCUGGGAAGUACGUACGCAAGUAUGAAACUUAAAGGAAUUGGCGGGGGAGCACCACAAGGGGUGAAGCCUGCGGUUC
rnacentral:rRNA from 1 species